rnacentral:rRNA from 1 species
AUACGGAGGGUGCAAGCGUUACUCGGAAUCACGGGGCGUAAAGCGCGCGCAGGCGGUCUUUUAAGUUGGAUGUGAAAGCCUACGGCUCAACCGUAGAACUGCAUCCAAAACUAUUAGACUAGAGUGUGGGAGAGGAAGAUGGAAUUAGUUGUGUAGGGGUAAAAUCCGUAGAGAUAACUAGGAAUACCAAAAGCGAAGGCAAUCUUCUGGAACACUACUGACGCUGAGGCGCGAAAGCGUGGGGAGCAAACGGGAUUAGAAACCCUAGUAGUCC